rnacentral:lncRNA from 1 species
CUCCCAGGAGGCUCAGGGGGGCACGGAGGACCGCACCGGGUCAGGUGUCUGCUCAGGCCCCGCCCCCGCCGAUCUCCGAGGAGACACGACAAGGAAGGGGCGGGGGGGGGCGGGGUUCCGUCACCGCCGAAACCGAACGUCUUGGCUAUCUUAACGACCACUGAAUCAGCGAGUCCACCGUGUUUUUCCACCGUCAAGUCGUUUCUGGGCUGCUGUGGAGACACGCCCUUCCUGGGUUUAAUGGCUUCGCUGUCCGGCGCUGGGGAGGAGGCGUGUUUACUUUUCGCAGGGAAAAUAGCGGUUCACGGUGGGACGGUGGACCUGCUUAGUAAUCGGGUGAUUUAUCCCAGGAACGUUCUUUGGGUUUUCCUGGUGGUUUGCGCUUGAACUUCGGCCGAGUGAAGUGGGAGGAGGCGGUAGGAGGAAGGUGGCUUCGGGGAGAAAGGGAUGGGCUCGGCUCAGGGACGAGGCCGAGCUCGAGGGACAGGUGGAGGUGUGCGCAGAUCUGGGAGGAUGCCGCUCCGCCCGCUCUCCCCGACUCCUCCUCAAUGUGCAUUCACUCGCUUGCUCACGCCAUCCCUCAGUCGUUCCUGCCUUCAGGGCUUCGAAUUCCGACCACCGUCUCUGUGCUGGGGAAGCAGCACACCUGCUGAGGCCCGGGCUCCGCGGCGAUGAACAGGCUUUCCCUCCUUCGGAGGAGAGCCCAGACUCCGCGGAGGAGACAGAUGGCCAAAUAGAUCGUUCCCAAUAGGGCUGUGUUCAAAUGACAGGAGGUAAGAACAGCUAAGUGCUGGACACUGUUCCAGGUGCUUUUCAUGUAUUAAAUCGUUCAUUUCUGUCAACAAUCCUAGGGGCUAGGUCCUGAGAAACUGGAGGCACAGAAACGUAAGUAACUUACUGAAGGUCACACAGCAAACAGAUUUGCACCCAGGCUGUCUGUCCAGCCUUUUACCAUCGUGAUCUCCAGCUCUGCUUUGGAAAUGAGGUAGGUCUGCCGCAAAAAAGGAGAGAAGGAUUUUUAGAAUCCGGGUCUUGAGGAGGAAGUAGGGAAGUUUUUGAGGUAGAGGAAGCAGCAACACCAGGCCCCCAAAGUUGAGAGUGCCUGCCACAUGCAGAAAGGCGCAGGGCUGGACGUGACCUGAGAGGGGAAAUGGCAGGCAGGCACGGAUGAUGAAACUUUACUGAAGGAGGGGGUGGGAUGGUCUGAUUUUAAACGAAGAAAGAGCUCUCAGGGGGCUCAGUGGAGGACAGAUUGUGGGCGGGAGUAGAUGAGAGCCAGGGGGAGUGGGCUCCUGCCAUUUCAGCCUUCUGGGGCCCUGUCCCUUUUGCCCUGAUCUUCCCCAGGGCCCGCUGCCCCUUGCUCUCCAGCGCGGUUUGGCUGACUCCGGCUAGACUUGAGGGUGGGCACGUGACUCAGGUCUGGCCAAUCAGCCUCUUCCAUCCCUCUGGCCGCAGGGAUUGGCCCAGGAGUGUACCUGUGACUCAAGUCAGGCCAAUGAGACUCAAUUCUGGGGUUUUUGUUAGACCUGCUCGGGGAAAGGAGGCUCUUUCUCAGGUUGCUGGGUGGGAGUGUGAGUCCGGGAGAAGCCUCUGCCUGAGAAUGAAGCUGCGUUAGUUUGCUGGGGCUGCAAUAACUAAGCAGCACGCAGCUUAAACCACAGACAUUUAUUUUCCCUCAUUUCUGGAAGCUGGAAGUCCAAGAUCAAGGUGUCGAAAGGCUGGUUUCUCCACUUGGCCUGCAGAUGGCCGUCUUCUUCUGGUGUCUUCACGUGGUCUUCCUUCUGUGUCCCAAUCUCUUCCUUUUAUAAGGACACCAGUCAUAUGGAUUAGGGCCCACCCGUGUGACCUCAGUUUACCUUCAUUACCUCCUUAAAGAACCCAUCACAAAAUAUAGCCAUGUUCUAAGGUACUGGGGGUCAGGAUUUCAAUAUAUGAAUUCGAGGGGAGGGAACACAAUUCAGCCCAUAACAGAAGCCAACACAGACAAACACAUGGAGGUAGGGGGAGAGAUCAAGGCCUGACCUGAUUUGAGCCCCUGGAUCCAACUGUGCUUGAAGCUGAAGCUAAUACUAUCCUGGACUCUUGAGUUUCAUGAGCCAGUAAGUACCUCAGCCUCAUUCCUCUCUUUUUUUCUUAAACUAGUUGAGUUUCUGUUACAGCUAAAAUUCCUGAGCGGUACACAAGGGAACCAGUUAGCAAACUAAGAUAGUCUACACCUGAUGAAAUGACAACUUGCAAGGACAGUGCUUGUAUCUGCACCCAGGGCUGUCCAAUUCCAAUAGGCAGAGGUAGCAGGUCAGAAGAAAGUGGGCCGAGCUGGUGCCAGCCUCUUCCCACAUAGGCAGGCGGUGCCACCUUAUCCCAGAAGCCAUGCCGGACAGAGCCAGAAAACCCUCCUUUCCCACCAGUGUUGACUGUGUGGAAUAGGCGGGUGCUGGCGGGUGUUGUUGGGUUGUAGAAGUCUUUUGAGAAGGGCAGAAAGCAUUUUGGAAAGCCUUGGCAAUGAGCUUGGGACAUCACCUCACAGGUUGCCGGGUGCUGCCCAGAGAUGCUCAGAUGGAACUCGAAGGAGCAGGGCCUUGGUUCCAGGAGGUUCCCUGCAGGAGUGGCAGAAUGAGCUCCCCGACAGGGCUCGAUCCUCUGCAUGGGGAGGAGAGCAGACAGAGCGGGCUUUGGCCAGGACUGAAACUCAAGCCUCUCCCGCCCGUCCUCCCAGAGCAUCCUCGGACCCGGCUGUCUGGGCCAGAGCCAGAAUGGUUCUCGGGCCGUUUCUCACCCCAAUUUCAAAGGCUUCGUCUUCCACUGAAGGAAAAGCUUGCACUUUCACAGUGAAAAAUUUAAGGAAAGAUGGCCCCAAGCAUCGUGCUGAAGUGCUGUCUAGUGACCCUAAGCUCAGGAAGGAUGCGAUGUGCCUUAUGGAGAAAACACGUGUAUUAGGUCGAUUUUUUUUCACUUAAUACAUCUUAGAGGUCUUUCCGUGAGAGUCCGUGUCAUUCUCCCUGAUUCAUUUGAAUGGUUAUGCAGUAUUCCAUGUUGUGGAUUUACCAUAAUUUGUUUAACCUGCCUGAUCAGACACUUUUUAAGCAACGCAGAUCAUUCGAAAAAGGAAAUUAUCCAUAGUGACUGAGUGGUAACAAAAUAAAUAAUAAAGUCUGAAGUGGGAGAAGGUUGUCAAGGGUGGAAUGUAAUUAGGGUACGGGGAAAGAGAAGAGAGGGUGUGGUGUCUGUCAGUGUCCCCCUCCAGCCCAUUGGCUCUGACCCAGAACAUCACCUGACUGUGUCUAUCUGCUCUGCUCAUGCAGCUCCCCGCCUGGCUGUGGGCUGCUGUCUUCCCUGAUGUUAGGGUUUCCCACAGAGUGAGGACACGCUCCUCCUCCAUCCGGGCCCUUCAAGCCCCCCUGACCACAUAACCCCACGUCUGUCCCCGCCGCCGUCUGAAGGAGGUUCGCACACAGGUUACCUGAGCGCCAGGACCGUCGUGGCACCGUCGAAUGCUGCAGGGACAAGAGCUGGUUAAAACUUGUCUGCUGUAAGCUGCCAGAAGGUGCCUCUCAGAGAGUUUAGAACAGUGCUGUAGAUCCAGACCCACAGAAGCGUACGUGAUUCAUUCCACGCUGAAAAAGGCCUUGGAGACCCGCUCACCAACCCUGCGUUUUACAGUGCUCACCAUCCAGAUCAAGGUAUGGAAUAUUAGCAGUGCCUCAGGAGUCUCCUUUGUACCAUCUCCCGAUCAUUACGCUCCGAAAGUAACCAAUAUCCUGACUGAGCACUAUCAAUUAAUUUUGUCUGACUCUGAAUUUCAUGUGAAUGGGAUCGUAGAGAACUGUACCUUUCCAUGUCUGACUUCUUUCCGUCACACUACAUCUGUGAGACUUAUCCAUGGCCUUGCACCGACAGUCAUC